AGGCGAAGGAAGGAGGGAAGGAGGAGGAAGCAAGAGAGGUUCAGCAAAAGCGAGCAAGAGGGAAGAAAGUCGUCGCACUCGAGGAGGAACUGGCAAGCCUUCUUGACGCUCGUCGUUGUAAAGUUGGUCGGGUCG
rnacentral:misc_RNA from 1 species